rnacentral:lncRNA from 1 species
GGUCAUUUUUUAUUAAAUAGGCCAUUUUGGAGCUAACUAAGCUAAUUAUGUCAUUUCGUUGGAUAAUUAGCCAAUUUAGCCUUUGUUGGAUAAGUCUAAGCUACGUAGAAGAAGAGAUAGAGAAGAAGAAGUAAAAUAAGGAGCAGGAGGAGGAGGAGGAGGAGGAGAAGAAGAAGGAAGAGGAGAAGAAGAAGAAAGAAGAAGGAGAAGGAGAAGAAGAAGGAGAAGG